rnacentral:ribozyme from 1 species
UGCACAGCAACUCCUAUCCUUACCUCCUCGCGGUAUUGGCCGGGGUACGAGUAACCUUAGGGAAGA